rnacentral:rRNA from 1 species
UAACGCGUGAGUAACCUGCCUUCAAGAGGGGGAUAACAUUCUGAAAAGAAUGCUAAUACCGCAUGACAUAUCGGAACCACAUGGUUCUGAUAUCAAAGAUUUUAUCGCUUGAAGAUGGACUCGCGUCCGAUUAGUUAGUUGGUGAGGUAACGGCUCACCAAGACCGCGAUCGGUAGCCGGACUGAGAGGUUGAACGGCCACAUUGGGACUGAGACACGGCCCAGACUCCUACGGGAGGCAGCAGUGGGGGAUAUUGCGCAAUGGGGGCAACCCUGACGCAGCAACGCCGCGUGAAGGAUGAAGGUUUUCGGAUUGUAAACUUCUUUUAUUAAGGACGAAACUUGACGGUACUUAAUGAAUAAGCUCCGGCUAACUACGUGCCAGCAGCCGCGGUAAUACGUAGGGAGCAAGCGUUGUCCGGAUUUACUGGGUGUAAAGGGUGCGUAGGCGGCUUUGCAAGUCAGAUGUGAAAUCUAUGGGCUCAACCCAUAAACUGCAUUUGAAACUGUAGAGCUUGAGUGAAGUAGAGGCAGGCGGAAUUCCCCGUGUAGCGGUGAAAUGCGUAGAGAUGGGGAGGAACACCAGUGGCGAAGGCGGCCUGCUGGGCUUUAACUGACGCUGAGGCACGAAAGCGUGGGUAGCAAACAGGAUUAGAUACCCUGGUAGUCCACGCUGUAAACGAUGAUUACUAGGUG